UACAGAGGGUGCGAGCGUUGUCCGGAAUCACUGGGCGUAAAGGCGCGUAGGCGGCCUGAUAAGUCGGGGGUGAAAUCCUGUGGCUUAACCACAGGGCUGCCUCCGAGACUGUCGGGCUCGAGCACAGUAGAGGCAGGUGGAAUUCCCGGUGUAGCGGUGGAAUGCGUAGAGAUCGGGAGGAACACCAGAGGCGAAGGCGGCGACCUGGACAGGCACUGACACUCAACUACGAAAGCGUGGGGAGCAAACAGG
rnacentral:rRNA from 1 species